AUACACUAAAACAUGUUUGCACAGGCAGAUAGCCUAGAUGUCCAUUCAAACCUAGUUUUACAAGACAGGAACUUUAGCCAACUAAGUGACAGAGCCACCUCAAAACUUGAUUUUAAUGAAAGUCUCGAAUCAGAAAAGUCAGGUAUGACAUAUCUUUUUCAAUUUCAAACAAAACAAAAAGCAACUCAACAGCAACAAAAGGUUCUGUCCUAUCGCUGCCAGGAAACACUUCAACCUUCUUGUUUUCAUUUUGAGAUUCAUAAACCUCUUCAUCUUGUAAACUUACAGGCCCAUCAUCAAUGUCAUCAACCUAUACACAAGAGGGUUGAGUCUUGAGAAACUGAGAACUGGUGGGAAACAAGACCUGGAGCAGAAAGGGUUAAAGAACCAACCUCAUUCCCUGCCUGCUACAGCUCACAGAUGUGAGUGGUGGUGCUUGGCAUCUGCUCUGCUCCAGAGGCUAAUUAAAGAAAAAAAAAA
rnacentral:lncRNA from 1 species